rnacentral:rRNA from 1 species
CCUACGGGGGGCAGCAGUGAGGAAUAUUGGACAAUGGGCGAGAGCCUGAACCAGCCAAGUCGCGUGAGGGAAGACGGUCCUAUGGAUUGUAAACCUCUUUAGGCGGGGAGCAAUGCCGGGCACGUGUGCCCGGAGGGAGAGUACCCGCAGAAUAAGCAUCGGCUAACUCCGUGCGAGCAGCCGCGGUAAUACGGAGGAUGCGAGCGUGAUCCGGAUUUAUGGGGGUUAAAGGGUGCGUAGGCGGAUUUUAAAGUAUGCGGUAAAAUGUCCGGGCUCAACCCGGGCCGGCCGUUGAAACUGGGGAUCUUGAGUGCGCGAGAGGUAUGCGGAAUGCGUGGUGUAGCGGUGAAAUGCAUAGAUAUCACGCAGAACUCCGAUUGCGAAGGCAGCAUACCGGCGCCCGACUGACGCUGAGGCACGAAAGCGUGGGGAUCGAACAGGAUUAGAUACCCGAGUAGUC